rnacentral:lncRNA from 1 species
GUACGUGAUAAAUGUUUAGAAUACUAGAGAAGUUUUCUUGUUAUAUAAAACCAUAUGUUUUUCAAUAAAUGGCAAACUUUUUGUUCAUCCGGCAUAUGGUUACUCCAAGGAUUUGUAUAGUUAACUAUACAAAUCCUUGGUUACUCUAAAUAAACUUUUGAUUAGUUUAAUUAUUUGAUUACAGAUCGUAUCUACCCGUUUUGCAAUUGCUGUAUCACCCUAAGUGAGGCUAAUAAAGAUAUGUAUAAUAAAAUAUAGAGGUAGCAGUCUUGGAUUGUCUUAAUUAAAUCCUUUGAUCCUCUAAUUAUCAAGUUACCCUCUGGCCAAUGUAAUUAUGACUUGUGUAUAUUUAAAGAAGUUUCUAUAUAUAUCUUUAUUCUCAUAAAGCAAAUGCAUUACAUCGGUACAGAGAUAACAAAUACAACAAUAAAUAUUUACAAUAUGUACAAAACAAGCGAGAGAGGUUACAAAAGUUACAAGCCAGGAGUACAUCACGGGCCGACA